rnacentral:rRNA from 1 species
CGAACGGGUGAGUAAUAUAUCGGAACGUGCCCAGUCGUGGGGGAUAACGUAGCGAAAGUUACGCUAAUACCGCAUACGAUCUACGGAUGAAAGCGGGGGAUCGCAAGACCUCGCGCGAUUGGAGCGGCCGAUAUCAGAUUAGGUAGUUGGUGGGGUAAAGGCUCACCAAGCCAACGAUCUGUAGCUGGUCUGAGAGGACGACCAGCCACACUGGAACUGAGACACGGUCCAGACUCCUACGGGAGGCAGCAGUGGGGAAUUUUGGACAAUGGACGCAAGUCUGAUCCAGCCAUUCCGCGUGCAGGAUGAAGGCCCUCGGGUUGUAAACUGCUUUUGUACGGAACGAAAAGGUUUCCAUUAAUACUGGGAGCUCAUGACGGUACCGUAAGAAUAAGCACCGGCUAACUACGUGCCAGCAGCCGCGGUAAUACGUAGGGUGCAAGCGUUAAUCGGAAUUACUGGGCGUAAAGCGUGCGCAGGCGGUUAUGUAAGACAGAGGUGAAAUCCCCGGGCUCAACCUGGGAACUGCCUUUGUGACUGCAUAGCUAGAGUACGGUAGAGGGGGAUGGAAUUCCGCGUGUAGCAGUGAAAUGCGUAGAUAUGCGGAGGAACACCGAUGGCGAAAGCAAUCCCCUGGACCUGUACUGACGCUCAUGCACGAAAGCGUGGGGAGCAAACAGGAUUAGAUACCCUGGUAGUCCACGCCCUAAACGAUGUCAACUGGUUGUUGGGUCUUCACUGACUCAGUAACGAAGCUAACGCGUGAAGUUGACCGCCUGGGGAGUACGGCCGCAAGGUUGAAACUCAAGGAAUUGACGG